CAGCAAAAGAAUGGCAUACGGGAGUUGCU
rnacentral:piRNA from 1 species